CCGCCCCUCUUCACCAAUGGAGUGGUCUACCGCCAUCAGUUUUUAUAUAUUUCUCCAAACUUCGUUGCCUUCUUAUUUUCCGUUUCCCACCCCUUCACAAAUUGAGAGAGAGAGAGAGAGAGAGAGAAAGAGAGAGAGAGAGAGAGAGAGAGAGAGAGAGUCACGAACGUCGAUAUAUGGAGAAGAAAGCCGCAAACCAUCGUCGUUGCAUCCGUCGGCGCCGCUCGAUCUGGAUUUAUAUAUCACCAGACGCGGCGACCUAUGCUCCUCCAUCCCGCCCCUGUUUGUCUAUCUCGAUUUCAAUCUGUAUCGGUUUCUAUCUAUAUACUUUGCAGUUUCCUAAAUUUUUCCUUCGAUUUUCAAGGUAAACGGAAAUGAAAAAGGGGAGGCCGCCCUAAUUUGCGUCAGCUUUAUGAGUAACUAUGUGGAUUAAGUCACUUUCUACAGCUUCACUAAAUUAUAGGACAACUUUCAGGUUCGUUGUAUGAAAUUAUAAAUUAGCAACUAAUUGGUUUUGAUCUUGGAACAGGGAGACCAUGAACGUAGGGUUAUUCAAUUUUUGUUACUUUACAUACUAUUUGUUUCACAGGUGGUUGUCCUUUUGUAUAUGACAAGCACUUCUAUACUUAUUAUUGCAGAUAGAUCAAUAAAAGGGUGACUUUAAUGGCAGCUCUAAUUAUGUAAUCAAGGUGUAUCUAUAAUUCUAAAUGGCUUUUCAUUUCUUUUGUUCUUGCUGAUUUGUAGCAUUAUCUGUUAUGUUUGAAGGUGGAACUAUUAGCAUAUAAGAAUCCUAUUGUUGCCAACUUGAAUGACAUGUAAGAUCCUUAUGCAAUUGUCACUUGUGGUACAAAAAAGAACUUUAGAAAUGGUCAUUUUUACUGAUGUUAAUCUGCAACUAAAUGGUUCAUGGUUCAAGAAACUCAACAACAGGACACUUCGCAAGAGCUUGUAGGUAAAGAACUUCAUGGGACAAAAUGGAAAUUCCGACAUAUCUACCGAGGGCAACCUCGGAGGCAUUUGCUGACGCAUGGUUGGAGUACCUUCGUGAACAAGAAGUGUCUUGUGUGUGGAGAUGCGGUUCUUUUUCUCAAGGGUGAUGAUGGAGUAUUAAGGUUGGGGGCUCGAAGUGCAACACAACCAAAGGUGGCUUCGAGAUUAGCAAUGUUUUGUAGUUUACAGAUGAAUGACUUUGCAAAUGUGACACCGAUUACUUUACUCCAGUUGUCGUCAUGCUGAUAUGAACACCACACGAAGUCAUUUCGUUUAUGGACAUAUCUAUUUCCCACCACAAAUUUAUUUCAUUUUCAAGCUUCAGACAAUCUACUAAAUGUCAUAUUUGUUUGUACUAA